GAUCGUAUUAUUGGUGACAUUCCUUUUUCUUCAGCGGGGAUAUACCAUUGUACCAAUGAAGAUGGUCCAGCAUGGAGAAUCUGUGAGCUUUCAAUGUGAUCUGCCCACUGAGUUUAGCGAAAGAGUCAUCCACUGGUAUAAGCAAAGACCAGGCGAUAUGCUGAGAUUGAUUUUGAAAGUGAUUAUAAGACAACAACAACCUAAAAUCCCUGAAUUUGAGCCAGAGUUUUCUAAGUCAAGAUGGGAGGUAAAAACUAAUCAAAAAUUUAGCCGUCUGACAUUGUUGAAGGCAACCUACAGUGAUGAUGGACUCUAUCACUGUGCACUCGCUGCUUGGAAAGGGAAUAUCGAAUGGAGAGGGACAUAUUGGAUGGCUAUAGGGAAUGCUGUGAAGAUGUCAGACUGCACUGUCAUUCAGCAGCCUGCAGCAUCCAAUCCAGUCAGUUCAGGAGACACGGCUACCUUUCAGUGUUCAGUUUUCUUUGACUCUGAGACGAUGGCUUGCUCUGAAGAUUUCAGCAUGUUCUGGUUCCAAGCUAAAUCAAAUAAUACCUAUCCAAAUAUGAUCUACACAGACGAAAACAAACAUCAUGAAUGUGAGAAGAGAUCUGACUCUGAGAAGUGUUGUAUGUUUAAUUUCUCAAAAGUUGUCAACUCCUCUGAUUCUGGGAUAUUUUACUGUGCUGUGACCUCAUGUGGAAAAAUAUUAUUUGGAAAUGGAACCAGACUGGAAAUUGUGGACAACACAAGGUUUGGAUCUAUUGCCCUGGUUACUUCAGUAUCCUGCCUGGUUUUUUCUUUGAUAUUAAAUGUUCUCAUCUGUUAUGGAGCUUUGAGGGCAAGGCA